UGCUCUUCGUCUCUCUUGUCUCUUCUCUGCUUCUUUCCUCUUUUGUUUUGCAUCCGGCUUAUAUCCCAAGCCAAAGUAAUCCCGCUUAUCAGUCAAGACUGCUACCUCGACCCCUCCAUAUAGAUACUUUCUGAGUCCUCUUUCAGACAAUGCUCCAUUUUCAACGAUCAAUUGUAAACCCAUUUUCGUAGCACUGGACACUUU
rnacentral:lncRNA from 1 species